GUUCUACUUGAAGGGAUGAUCUUGGGAACUAUAUCUUGUCUCCAGCUUCUUUCUCCCUGGUUCUCUCUUUCUGUGCUUGCUGGCUCCAUGAAAUGAGUAGCUCUUUUCCACCAUGCCCUUUGGUUACGACUUUUCUGCCUUUCCAUAGGCCUAAAAGCAAUUGAACCAGCCAAUAAUGGACUGGACCUCUGAAGCCAUGAGCCAAAAUAAACCUUUCUUCCUUUAUGUUUUUUUUUUUUUUUUAUCAUGGGUGUUUCGUCACAGAGCUGACUACCAAAGUAUAUAUUCUUUUGGAAAGUACUCUGAGGUUUGCAAGUACAAAAUGGUGAUCUGUGGAUUGAAUAUUUUUCUGUCUAAUCCACAUGCUCCAAUGGGGACAAUUUCUAAAUUUUUGUUUCAGAUAAUCUUACUGAGUUUGGUUUUGAUUUCUACUUUGGGACCUCUCCUUAGAAGAGUCAGAGUUUUCCUGGGACUCUUCAGUGAGACGAUUCUUACAUCUUGGGUGGACCCCUACAAGGCUGUACUCGAUCCCAGCGACUUGCUGGGCUUCACACCAGUAAACUAAGACCCCUGGUUGGUCAGUAGUGCCAAAUGAAGGAAUGCAUCCUUUGGUGAAAAAAAAAUCUAUAUAUACUGGAGGGAUUGUAUAUAUUAUGACAGGUUGGUGAAAUCCUCUGGAUAUUCGUCUGGAAAUCAAGGACAGUCAAUAGUUUUGAAUCUAUUACUAGAUAUCAACAAGAUACAGAAUCAAACAUUCCCAGUGUUUUGCUUCUCAGUCUGUAAAAC
rnacentral:lncRNA from 1 species